GAUGAAGAACGCAGCAAAAUGCGAUAAGUAAUGUGAAUUGCAGAAUUCAGUGAAUCAUCGAAUCUUUGAACGCACAUUGCGCCCGCUGGUAUUCCGGCGGGCAUGCCUGUUCGAGCGUCAUUUCAACCCUCAAGCCCCCGGGUUUGGUGUUGGGGAACGGCUCUGCCCUUCUGGGCGGUGCCGCCCCCGAAAUACAUUGGCGGUCUCGCUGCAGCCUCCAUUGCGUAGUAGCUAACACCUCGCAACUGGAACGCGGCGCGGCCAUGCCGUAAAACCCCAACUUCUGAAUGUUGACCUCGGAUCAGGUAGGAAUACCCGCUGAACUUAAGCAUAUCAAUAAGCGGAGGA
rnacentral:misc_RNA from 1 species